GAACAAAGUGCCGUAAACGGUAAAACUGUUUGCACUACAAACCAGUACGUUCAUAAUUAAGACAAUACAUUAAAAAUAACAUGGUAAGAUACAGCAGUUUGCAACAGUAAACAGCAAAACAAGCUGUUUGUACAGCUAAUAUAGCUGGAAUGACACCGAGAGCCAGACACAUUAAAUCUACAAAUGGCCGCGCCCCCUCUUACAGAAAAAAAAUAAGGGGCAUAUGUUUAUUCAUAUGUUUAUUUAUUUAACGUAAGCGUGUGACUUUUAAUUCGUGACGUGCUUUCAUGGGCGUGCGCGCGGACCGGAUGGAGUUGCCAUGGAAACGGAGCGCAACACUGCAAAUGUCACGAGGAAACACCCCGUUUCUCGCUGAUUUCACUGUUUUCAGGAAUGGUUUAAUGUCUUCGAAAAAGUCCGUUAGCAUUUCUACCGUUUUCAGACGACGUAUCGUCAGAAGGGAGUGUCCAAGAUUUCAAUAUUUCUGAAGGGAGCUGCUGACAGAGAUGUAGGAAGCGCUGAAAAGAUUCUUCAGUGCUGAUGGCCUGCUGCAUCCAGCAGAGUCGCAGUGAACCUACUGUAAGACAACAUCUCCAAGAUGCUAUUGACCACAAGACCAGUACAGUUAUUAGAAACUGCACAGCACAGGACUUGCAGGACUUGUGAGGACUUCAGAUGAUACCAGUACUCAAAAGACCUUAGAUGAUGGCAACUAUAGAUGGACAUACAAACUACCGCCACUGCAAAAAAGAUUCUAAUUUGAAAGAAGUUUAUAAUGCAUGUUCGCUACUCCCAAUUCAGAAGACUGAAUCAGCCUGUGUAUCUGAAUGUUUCUCAUACUCACUCCUCUCUGCCGCGUCUGAAUUUGGGAUUUUCCUUAGCUGUCAGUUAAAAACGUCAAAAUUAAAAGAAAUAAACAUUUGAAAUAUAUCAGUCUGUGUGUAAUGAAUAAAUAUAAUAUACAAGUUUCACUUUUUGAAUGGAAUUAGUGAAAUAAAUCAACUUUUUGAUGUUAUUCUAAUUAUAUGACCAGCACCUGUAUAUCAUUGCUCUUUUGUUGAUUUUGAUUGCUUCCAUUGUCCUCAUUUGUAAGUUGCUUUGGAUAAAAGUGUCUGCUAAAUGUAAAUGUAAUGUUAAUGUGUAUUUAACUAUAUUUAUAAAUAUUUAUCUGUAUUUUUUAUUUUGUAACAAUGUAAAUGUAUUUGUUUUAUAUCUAUAC